CCUACGGGAGGCAGCAGUGGGGAAUUUUGGACAAUGGGCGAAAGCCUGAUCCAGCCAUGCCGCGUGCAGGAUGAAGGCCUUCGGGUUGUAAACUGCUUUUGUACGGAACGAAAAGGUCUUUUCUAAUAAAGAAGGCUCAUGACGGUACCGUAAGAAUAAGCACCGGCUAACUACGUGCCAGCAGCCGCGGUAAUACGUAGGGUGCAAGCGUUAAUCGGAAUUACUGGGCGUAAAGCGUGCGCAGGCGGUUAUAUAAGACAGUUGUGAAAUCCCCGGGCUCAACCUGGGAACUGCAUCUGUGACUGUAUAGCUAGAGUACGGUAGAGGGGGAUGGAAUUCCGCGUGUAGCAGUGAAAUGCGUAGAUAUGCGGAGGAACACCGAUGGCGAAGGCAAUCCCCUGGACCUGUACUGACGCUCAUGCACGAAAGCGUGGGGAGCAAACAGGAUUAGAUACCCUGGUAGUCCACGCCCUAAACGACUGUCAACUGGUUGUUGGGUCUUCACUGACUCAGUAACGAAGCUAACGCGUGAAGUUGACCGCCUGGGGAGUACGGCCGCAAGGUUGAAACUANAGAGUAGUAGACGNGNGAGUAGCGACGAGACACACGGAGGGUUAG
rnacentral:rRNA from 1 species